rnacentral:rRNA from 1 species
UACGUAGGGUGCAAGCGUUGUCCGGAAUUAUUGGGCGUAAAGAGCUCGUAGGCGGUCUGUUACGUCCGCUGUGAAAACCCAGGGCUUAACCCUGGGCUUGCAGUGGAUACGGGUAGACUAGAGGCAGGUAGGGGAGAAUGGAAUUCCCGGUGUAGCGGUGAAAUGCGCAGAUAUCGGGGAGGAACACCGGUGGCGAAGGCGGUCUA